GGGGUGUAGCUCAGUCUGGUUAGAGCGCCGGCCUGUCACGCCGGAGGCCGCGGGUUCGAGUCCCGUCACUCC
rnacentral:tRNA from 1 species